UUUUUAGUCUGCUUGUCCGCCGGGAGGGAAGUUAACACAGGGAGUGGACCACAGCUUGGAGGAUACUCAGCGUUGUCAAAUGUGGAUGUAUCAUGUGAUCUGCAAAAGAAUAUCCUGUUUUCCACUGCAACCCAAGAUAGAACUCUCCAAACAUCUGUGAAGCUUCAAUAUAAAGCCCCUUCAUCAUAAACAUGCUACUCCAACUCAGAUAUGAAAACAUCCCCUUCUGACUCUCCACAAACUUCACAAGCUAUGCUAAUGAGUAUCUUUUCUGGAGCGCAACAGGGAAGAUGUGCCAACCAUGAGGGAGAAGACAGGCAAUCCAAGGAGAGGUGAAAAGGUCUUACGGUGAAACACUCCUCCAGGAAAUGACCAUGUUUUUUCUUCGAUAACAUAUGUUUUCUAGCUGAUAAACAACAUGCUGCUUAUUUAGUUUGUAACAUUUUGGUGGGGUGAAUUUUUAACCCUAUCUUAAGUUUAAGUUGUAACUAUGACUAAAAUGACUCAUAAAGUGAAACUGAUUAGUACAGUGUGUCUUUCCUGUGUCUAAAUAUAUUGAAAAACUAUUUGAGGCAUUAGUCAUUGGUGUCUUAUAACAUUAAGAGACAUAGAUAUGGGUCACUUUUUUCAAGAACAGCUAGUUGUUUUUAACUAAUGUGUUUCUUCUCACAGGCUCAUAGAUACAGCAUA